CCCUUAGAUGUUCUGGGCCGCACGCGCGCUACACUGUUCGACGCGGCGAGUCUUAACCUUGACCGAAAGGUUUGGGUAAUCUUCAGCAAAGUCGAACGUGAUGGGGAUCGAUCAUUGCAAUUAUUGAUCGUGAACGAGGAAUUCCUAGUAAGUGCAAGUCAUCAGCUUGCGCUGAUUACGUCCCUGCCCUUUGUACACACCGCCCGUCGCUACUACCGAUUGAAUGGUUUAGUGAGAUCUCUGGAUUGACGCUGGCUAGGGGGCGACCCUUGGCCAGACUGCUCGAGAAACUGCUCAAACUUGAUCAUUUAGAGGAAGUAAAAGUCGUAACA
rnacentral:rRNA from 1 species